rnacentral:rRNA from 1 species
GUGCCAGCAGCCGCGGUAAUACGGAGGAUGCGAGCGUUAUCCGGAUUCAUUGGGUUUAAAGGGUGCGCAGGCGGCGCCCCAAGUCAGCGGUAAAAUCCCCGGGCUCAACCCGGGCCCGCCGUUGAAACUGGGUUGCUUGAGCGUGUGCGACGGAGGCGGAAUGCGUGGUGUAGCGGUGAAAUGCAUAGAUAUCACGCAGAACCCCGAUUGCGAAGGCAGCUUCCGAGCACAUGUCUGACGCUGAGGCACGAAAGCGUGGGUAUCGAACAGGAUUAGAUACCCUGGUAGUCCACGCGGUAAACGAUGAAUACUGGUUAUCCGGCGCGUUUCGGUGCUGGGUGACUCAAGCGAAAGCAUUAAGUAUUCCACCUGGGGAGUACGCCGGCAACGGUGAAACUCAAAGGAAUUGACGGGGGCCCGCACAAGCGGAGGAACAUGUGGUUUAAUUCGAUGAUACGCGAGGAACCUUACCCGGGCUCAAACGCGCAGGGACAGCCGGUGAAAGCCGGUCUCCCCUCGGGGUCCUGUGCGAGGUGCUGCAUGGUUGUCGUCAGCUCGUGCCGUGAGGUGUCGGCUUAAGUGCCAUAACGAGCGCAACCCCCAUCUCCAGUUGCCACCGCGUUGAGGCGGGCACUCUGGAGAGACUGCCGGCGCAAGCUGUGAGGAAGGCGGGGAUGACGUCAAAUCAGCACGGCCCUUACGUCCGGGGCGACACACGUGUUACAAUGGCGGGGCACAGAAGGAAGCCAGGCUGCGAGGCCGAGCCGAUCCCGAAAACCCGUCUCAGUUCGGAUCGGAGUCUGCAACCCGACUCCGUGAAGCUGGAUUCGCUAGUAAUCGCGCAUCAGCCAUGGCGCGGUGAAUACGUUCCCGGGCCUUGUACACACCGCCCGU